ensembl:snoRNA SNORA62 Small nucleolar RNA SNORA62/SNORA6 family
GCAAGUCUUUUGUUAAUACCAUAAGGGUCUCUGGCCCAAUGAGUGGAGUGUGUUAGUAAUUCUUGC